CAGCGCCACAAGUGGCAACCACAUUUAUUGGGCCUAAAGCGUCCGUAGCCGGUCUUGUAAAUUCUUUGUGAAAUCGUCGGGCUCAACUUGACGAAUUGCAGAGAACACUGCGAGACUUGAGACCAGGAGGAGUCAGAGGUAUUCCAGGGGGAGCGGUAAAAUGCUAUAAUCCUUGGAGGACCACCUGUGGCGAAGGCGUCUGACCAGAAUGGUUCUGACGGUGAGGGACGAAAGCCAGGGGAGCAAACCGGAUUAGAGACCCGAGUAGUCC
rnacentral:rRNA from 1 species